rnacentral:ncRNA from 1 species
AUAAAAACAGUGAACGGAUAAGUAACCCUGAUAGUUCUGUAGAGAGUUUCUGGUUGGUGUAAAGAAAUGACUAUUGGUGGUGAAAACACAUCUGGGAGUUUACCUGCUGAAGAUAGUAAGCAAGUACGGGAUAAGCCCGUUAUAGCUGUAGUUACUAAUAAACUACUUGAGGUAACUGGUGUGAGCUAGUUACGAACUUGAGGUGGAACCGCGAUAAUUUUCGUCCUCUUA